rnacentral:piRNA from 1 species
UCCAAUGUUCCAGGACCUCCAUUGU